rnacentral:rRNA from 1 species
UACGGGGGGAGCAAGCGUUGUUCGGAUUUACUGGGCGUAAAGGGCGUGCAGGCGGUUUGUUAAGUGCAGGGUGAAAGCUCCCGGCUCAACUGGGAGAGGUCCUUGCAUACUGGCAAACUCGAGGGAGGCAGAGGAAAGUGGAAUUCCCGGUGUAGUGGUGAUAUGCGUAGAUAUCGGGAGGAACACCUGUGGCGAAGGCGGCUUUCUGGGCCUUACCUGACGCUGAGACGCGAAAGCGUGGGGAGCGAACAGG